AGAGUUUGAUCCUGGCUCAGAUUGAACGCUGGCGGCAUGCCUUACACAUGCAAGUCGAACGGCAGCACGGGAGCAAUCCUGGUGGCGAGUGGCGAACGGGUGAGUAAUAUAUCGGAACGUGCCCAGNUUGUGGGGGAUAGCCCGGCGAAAGCCGGAUUAAUACCGCAUACGACCUGAGGGUGAAAGCGGGGGAUCGCAAGACCUCNCGCAANNGGAGCGGCCGAUAUCAGAUUAGCUAGUUGGUGGGGUAAAAGCCUACCAAGGCGACGAUCUGUAGCUGGUCUGAGAGGACGACCAGCCACACUGGGACUGAGACACGGCCCANACUCCUACGGGAGGCAGCAGUGGGGAAUUUUGGACAAUGGGCGCAAGCCUGAUCCAGCCAUGCCGCGUGCGGGAAGAAGGCCUUCGGGUUGUAAACCGCUUUUGUCAGGGGAAGAAACGGUCUGACCUAAUACGUUGGACUAAUGACGGUACCUGAAGAAUAAGCACCGGCUAACUACGUGCCAGCAGCCGCGGUAAUACGUAGGGUGCAAGCGUUAAUCGGAAUUACUGGGCGUAAAGCGUGCGCAGGCGGCUAUGCAAGACAGAUGUGAAAUCCCCGGGCUCNACCUGGGAACUGCAUUUGUGACUGCAUGGCUAGAGUACGGUAGAGGGGGAUGGAAUUCCCNNGUGUANCANUGAAAUGCGUANAUAUGCNGAGG
rnacentral:rRNA from 1 species